UACGGAGGGUGCAAGCGUUGUUCGGAAUUAUUGGGCGUAAAGCGCGCGCAGGCGGCCUGGAAAGUCUAUGGGUGAAAUGCCGGGGCUCAACCCCGUGCAUGCCCAGGAUACUGCCAGGCUGGAGACACGUAGAGGCAGGCGGAAUUUCGGGUGUAGCGGUGGAAUGCGCAGAUAUCAGGAGGAACACCGGUGGCGAAGGCGGGUCUCUGGGCCGUUACUGACGCUGAGGAGCGAAAGCGUGGGGAGCGAACAGG
rnacentral:rRNA from 1 species